ensembl:sense_intronic
ACAUGCAUGCUGUAGCAUGCUCCUUUCCCCUCAUCAGAAUCACACAAUAAUAACAACAACAACAAUAACAAUAUAAAAAUUCACAACGCCAAGCCAGGACAUUCAUUGUAAGGCAGGAACAUAUAAACAGCUGAGGAAUCUGCAGGGGAGCAUGGUGGAUCCCGCAGCCCCUGCUCCUUGGAGUCUGGUGCAUGGCCACUACAUACCUAGGCUCGUUUUAACCUCUUUAUGCACAUUCACCGCACGCAGCAGCAUUGAGCUUGUUCAAACAGUGCCACUCACUGUUGAUGCUAUGGACUAUAUCUGUAUCUCACCCAAAUUCAUGGUUUGAAAGCAUGAUGUCAAGUGUGGGGACUUUGGAAGUUCAAUGGUCACCAUGUCAGAGCCAUUGUAGUUAGAGUUGCCCAGAUGAAAGAAGCCCCAAGUUGUGCAUGGUGAAUCAUGCAUGCCCAAGUUGUGCAUGGUGAAUCAUGCAUGCACUUGCAGCAGGAGGCUAGUAAGUUGGAGGCCAGCUUGUGCUACAUAGUGAAUUUGGAGCCAGCUGGGGUUACUUAGAGAGUUGCUAUCCAACAAACAGAGAGAGAGAGAGAGAGAGAGAGAGAGAGAGGCUCAAAAAGACCGAAGACACUGAGGAGGGUGCCUUUGGCUUCCCACCCCCCAGAACAGUAAGACAUAAUCCUCCUGGAUUCCUGCUAUUACUAAGCUACCCUGUGUACGACCCUUAUGACUCACAGGAUGGACCAGCAGAGGGCGUUGGGCUAGACAGAAGCAGCCAAUUGCACUUGGGUCUCCGCUUGCUCUAUGGCUUUGAUAAGUCACUAGGAUUCUUUAAAGUACCGAAUAGGAACACGAUGUGCAUUUGCAAUUCAGAGUCCAGGGAUUCACAAAGAACUUACCAGUUCUGCUUGCACUCAUUUGGUGCAUAGACAUACAUUCAGAUCUCACCAGUUCUUUUGUGGCCAGUGGUAGAUAUUGUUGCCAUUUUGGUGACUAUUUUAAGGCAGAGUGCCUUCUGCCAGGGAGCUUAUCAUACAGCUGUGGAGGGAAGAUUUCUCCAACUCAAAAGAGAAUGUCCAGCUGGGAGGUGACAUAUCCCAGCACUCAGAAGUAGGGGGGGGGGGGGGAAUCUGUUGUGAGUUUGAAGCCAGCCAGGUCUACAUAGGGAGCUCUAGGUCAGCCAGAGAAACAUGGUGAGAUCCUGUCUCAAAUAAAAUAAAAUGUAAUGAACAAAAGAGAAUUCCCAUGACACAUUGAAUCUCACUGCUUUGUAAGCUAACUUUAAUAGGAAG